CAGUCGCCGCGGGAAUACGAAGGGUGCAAGCGUUACUCGGAAUUACUGGGCGUAAAGCGUGCGUAGGUGGUGGUUUAAGUCCGUUGUGAAAGCCCUGGGCUCAACCUGGGAAUUGCAGUGGAUACUGGGUCACUAGAGUGUGGUAGGGGAUAGUGGAAUUUCCGGUGUAGCAGUGAAAUGCGUAGAGAUGUGGAGGAACACCGAUGGCGAAGGCAGCCCCCUGGGCCAAUACUGACGCUCAUGCACGAAAGCGUGGGGAGCAAACAGGAUUAGAUACCCCCGUAGUCCCUGUCUCUUAUAC
rnacentral:rRNA from 1 species